AUGGCAGACAAGACCGCGCAGACUGGGGCGCAGAAACAGCGUGCUCCGGCCCCGCAGAAGAACUCGCUGCGUCGCCAAGGUGUAGGUGGGGUGCGGCCAAAUCCCGUUGUCGCCCCUGCCAAAGGUGCUGCCCCUCUCCAAGCACAGCAAGUCGUGGCAGCACCUCUGCCACCGGCUCCACCUGCCCCGUCUGUGCAGGUUCUCGACGAGCACUACAAGGAUAUGGUAUGUUUUAAUUGUGGAGGGCCUAGCCAUUAUGUUGGUAAUUGCAUCCAGAAGAAAAUCUGCUUCAUCUGGGGAUUAGAGGGUCACAACGUCAACAACUGUGCGGCUUGGGCGCAACCUCAUCCAGUUGCCACUUUCUUUGGAAGCUCUGCCCUGGGAUUAGGGUUCUACCACAUUUAUGCUCCUGUGGGUAGUGAAGCAAAUUGGCUUAACUUCAGAAACUGUGGAGAGGUUUGGGUCAUGAAAGGAGAGAUUAGCAAGUUGGAUCUGAUUAAGAACCUGUCAGGUAUUUUCUGCAAAAACAAACAGUGGACAUGGCAAAUUAGGCCUCUGAGAGACAAGAAGUUAUUGGUCAGAUUCCCACCCUGGUGCGGUUGA
rnacentral:rRNA from 1 species